AAAGGGUAUAACUCAAGGGUAGAGUAUCACGUUGACACGGUAUAAGUCAUCAGUUCGAGUCUGAUUACUCCUAA